GCUCUUCCUCUGUCUUUGAAUAAAAUGGCGACACAUGGACCUGUCUUGGAGCAUCAUAAUGCACAGGAGAAGCUAGGGACCAGCAGCAUAAGUUUCAGAAUCCACAGCAAACGUACACUAAUAAAAACAAUGGCAGCAUAGCGAAGUGGAAUUAUUCCUGAUAUGAUUGAUUGAGGUGUAUGUUGAUGAACAUCAACUCGAUCUUCCCCAAACAUCAUAGCUCAGUGUCAGGUAAUAAUUUCUUCCUAGUUUGAACUUU